GACGAACGCUGGCGGCGUGCCUAAUACAUGCAAGUCGAGCGAAGUUUUUCUGGUUCUUGCCCCUGCAAGACUUAGCGGCGCACGGGUGAGUCACACGUAAAGAACCUUCCUUAUAGACUGGGACAACUAUCGGAAACGAUAGCUCAUACCGGAUAACAGCGUUACCUGCAUGGUUGUUGUUUGAUAGUUGGUUUUGCUAACACUAUGAGAUGUCUUUGCUUGGCAUUAGCUAGUUGGUGGGGUAACGGCCUCCCACGUCGGCGAGGCGUAGCCGACCUGAGAGGGUGAUCGGCGGCACGGGGAGUGAGACAGGGACCAGAGGCCUGAGGGAGGGAGCAGUAGGGAAUCGUAGGCAAUGGGCGAAAGCCUGACGGAGCAACGCCGCGUGAGUGACGAAGGAGUUGGGUUCGGAAAGAUGGGUUGUUAGGGAAGAACGACUGUGUAGUAAGUCGACGCGGGAGUGACGGUAACGGGUAAGAAAGCAACGGCUAACUACGUG
rnacentral:rRNA from 1 species